AAUCAACGCUGGCGGCGCGCCUAACACAUGCAAGUCGAACGAGAAAGCCGCAAGGCAAGUAAAGUGGCGUACGGGUGAGUAACACGUGGAUUAUCUGCCCUCUAGUGGGGAAUACCGUUGGGAAACCGACGACAAUACCGCAUAAGCUCGAGAGAGGAAAGCAGCAAUGCGCUGGAGGAGUCCGCGGUCGAUUAGUUAGUUGGCAGGGUAAAGGCCUACCAAGACUGUGAUCGAUAGCCGGCCUGAGAGGGCACACGGCCACACUGGCACUGAAACACGGGCCAGACUCCUACGGGAGGCAGCAGUGGGGAAUCUUGCACAAUGGGGGAAACCCUGAUGCAGCGACGCCGCGUGAGCGAUGAAGCCCUUCGGGGUGUAAAGCUCUUUCGGCAGGGAAGAUUAUGACGGUACCUGCAGAAGCAGCUGCGGCUAACUACGUGCCAGCAGCCGCGGUAAUACGUAGGCAGCAAGCGUUGUUCGGAGUUACUGGGCGUAAAGGGUGCGUAGGCGGCUUUUUAAGUUUGGUGUGAAAUCUCCCGGCUCAACUGGGAGGGUGCGCCGAAUACUGAGAGGCUAGAGUGCGGGAGAGGAAAGUGGAAUUCCUGGUGUAGCGGUGAAAUGCGUAGAUAUCGGGAGGAACACCGGUGGUGUAAACGGCUUUCUGGACCGUAACUGACGCUGAGGCACGAAAGCGUGGGUAGCAAACAGGAUUAGAUACCCUGGUAGUCCACGCCCUAAACGAUGCAUAUUUGGUGUGGACCAUUCACUUGGUCCGUGCCGGAGCUAACGCGUUAAAUAUGCCGCCUGGGGAGUACAGUCGCAAGGCUG
rnacentral:rRNA from 1 species